CACCGACGUAGAGGAUUUACUGAUGAAGGUGGUUUGCAACAUGUAACCCAAGAGAUGGAGGCUAAGGCUGUUAUUCCAUUUGCUUCAGACAGUGCUUCUCAGCUGACACAAGCUCCUUCAAGCAAGGGUUCAUAUUCACAAGUGGGGUUCUCUUAUGAUGGUGAUGUGAAGGAGGAAUCUCAAUUUUCAGAUGGUGAUGAUAAUGAAGACGACGACGAAGACGAUGAUGAUGAUGAGGAUUUUAACAGUGAUGAUAGCAAUGAUGAAGGAAUGGAUAUGAUAGCAAAAGAAUUUGGAGUAAAAAGGUAUGGGUGGCUUGUUUACAUGGAUAAAAAGGCAAAAGAGGAAGAGAAAAGGCAAAAGGAAAUGAUCAAAGGAGAUCCUGCUAUUAGGAAGCUGAGUCGCAAGGAAAGGAGGAAAGCUUCUCAGAUAGAAAGGGAAAAAGAAAGAGAAGCUGCUCGGAUAACAGGAACUCGAGUGCU
rnacentral:misc_RNA from 1 species